CGCAGGUCCUAGGAGCUCCGGGAAGGGCAGGUGUGAGAGACACAGUGUGUGCAGGUCCUAGGAGCUCCGGGAAGGGCAGGUGUGAGAGACGCAGUGAGCGCAGGUCCUAGGAGCUCCGGGAAGGGCAGGUGUGAGAGACACAGUGUGUGCAGGUCCUAGGAGCUCCGGGAAGGGCAGGUGUGAGAGACGCAGUGAGCGCAGGUCCUAGGAGCUCCGGGAAGGGCAGGUGUGAGAGACGCAGUGUGUGCAGGUCCUAGGAGCUCCGGGAAGGGCAGGUGUGAGAGACGCAGUGUGUGCAGGUCCUAGGAGCUCCGGGAAGGGCAGGUGUGAGAGACGCAGUGUGUGCAGGUCCUAGGAGCUCCGGGAAGGGCAGGUGUGAGAGACGCAGUGUGUGCAGGUCCUAGGAGCUCCGGGAAGGGCAGGUGUGAGAGACGCAGUGUGUGCAGGUCCUAGGAGCUCCGGGAAGGGCAGGUGUGAGAGACGCAGUGUGUGCAGGUCCUAGGAGCUCCGGGAAGGGCAGGUGUGAGAGACGCAGUGUGUGCAGGUCCUAGGAGCUCCGGGAAGGGCAGGUGUGAGAGACGCAGUGAGCGCAGGUCCUAGGAGCUCCGGGAAGGGCAGGUGUGAGAGACACAGUGUGUGCAGGUCCUAGGAGCUCCGGGAAGGGCAGGUGUGAGAGACGCAGUGAGCGCAGGUCCUAGGAGCUCCGGGAAGGGCAGGUGUGAGAGACACAGUGUGUGCAGGUCCUAGGAGCUCCGGGAAGGGCAGGUGUGAGAGACGCAGUGAGCGCAGGUCCUAGGAGCUCCGGGAAGGGCAGGUGUGAG